UACGGGAGGCAGCAGUGGGGAAUAUUGCACAAUGGGCGAAAGCCUGAUGCAGCUAUGCCGCGUGUAUGAAGAAGGCCUUAGGGUUGUAAAGUACUUUCAUCGGGGAGGAAAAAACAAAACUAAUAAUUUUAUUUCUUGACGUUACCCGAAAAAGAAGCACCGGCUAACUCCGUGCCAGCAGCCGCGGUAAUACGGAGGGUGCUAGCGUUAAUCAGAAUUACUGGGCGUAAAGAGCACGUAGGUGGUUUUUUUAAGUCAGAUGUGAAAUCCCUGGGCUUAACCUGGAACUGCAUUUUGAAACUGAAAUACUAGAGUAUCGUAGAGGGAGGUAGAAUUCUAGGUGUAGCGGUGAAAUGCGUAGAUAUCUGGAGGAUACCUGUGGCGAAAGCGGCCUCCUAAACGAAUACUGACACUGAGGUGCGAAAGCGUGGGGAGCGAAACAGGGAUUAGAUACC
rnacentral:rRNA from 1 species